rnacentral:rRNA from 1 species
GAUCAUGGCUCAGGAUGAACGCUAGCUACAGGCUUAACACAUGCAAGUCGAGGGGUAACAGGAGAGAAGCUUGCUUUCUUGCUGACGACCGGCGCACGGGUGAGUAACGCGUAUCCAACCUUCCCCAUAGUAGAGGAUAGCCCGGCGAAAGUCGGAUUAAUACUCUAUGUUCUUCGAAGAGGACAUCUGAUUUGAAGCAAAGAUUUAUCGCUAUGGGAUGGGGAUGCGUCUGAUUAGCUUGAUGGCGGGGUAACGGCCCACCAUGGCGACGAUCAGUAGGGUUCUGAGAGGAAGGUCCCCCACAUUGGUACUGAGACACGGACCAAACUCCUACGGGAGGCAGCAGUGAGGAAUAUUGGUCAAUGGACGAGAGUCUGAACCAGCCAAGUAGCGUGCAGGACGACUGCCCUAUGGGUUGUAAACUGCUUUUAUAGGGGAAUAAAGUCCACUACGUGUAGUGGUUUGUAUGUACCCUAUGAAUAAGGACCGGCUAAUUCCGUGCCAGCAGCGGC